UUAAUUGAAACCAAAAUAGAGGUAAAUCACUGUUAAUGAUUAAACUGAGAAUUUCUCCAAUUAAA
rnacentral:tRNA from 1 species